CUCGUAGGCGGCCUGCCAAGUCUCACGUGAAAGACCAGGGCUCAACCCUGGGAACGCGAGAGAAACUGGCAAGCUGGAAUCUUUGAGGGGGUACUGGAAUUCCUGGUGUAGGGGUGAAAUCUGUUGAUAUCAGGAAGAACACCGGAGGCGAAGGCGAGUACCUGGCAAAUGAUUGACGCUGAUGAGCGAAAGCGUAGGGAGCGAACAGGAUUAGAUACCCUGGUAGUCC
rnacentral:rRNA from 1 species